GUUGCCUAUCUGAUUAAUUAUUGAUAUCUAAAUAAAAUGAGAAUCAAUAAAAAAAUUGAAAAUCCUAGAAGAGAGUUGAUUAAUGAUCUCUAGUUAAUUAGUUUCCUCAUUAUUUAUUCAGUAAGACAAUAUGCUACCUUUUAGCUGGGCCAAUAGGAAUACAGUACUAACACUUGUUGAAGGAUAACCCAAGUAUAUAGAAUUUAUUUGGUUAUUUGUAGAGGUAUGGAUGACAGUUGGAUAUAGGUAGAUUUUUACCUGCAAAAGAGUAAUGAGUUCUACUAAUCAACAGCCAGGUGGUUCAUCUUACCAACCUCCAGGCCAAACCAAUCAGUAUGGAUCACCUCAGGGUAAAAAUGAAGCCCAGAAGAGAAAGUUUGGAGCCUAUCAAGGAAUUAGUAGUGCAGAUUUUCGAAAUCUUCAACUGGAAAAGG